rnacentral:rRNA from 1 species
GACGGAAGGUGCAAGCGUUGCUCGGAAUCACUGGGCGUAAAGAGCGUGUAGGCGGCUAGAUAGGUCCGUUGUGAAAACUCGAGGCUCAACCUCGAGACGUCGAUGGAAACCAUCUGGCUAGAGUCCGGAAGAGGAGAGUGGAAAUUCCUGGUGUAGCGGUGAAAUGCGCAGAUAUCAGGAGGAACACCAAUGGCGAAGGCAGCUCGCUGGGACGGUACUGACGCUGAGACGCGAAGCGUGGGGAGCAAACAGG